rnacentral:rRNA from 1 species
GAGUUUGAUCCUGGCUCAGAGCGAACGCUGGCGGCAGGCUUAACACAUGCAAGUCGAGCGGGCGUAGCAAUACGUCAGCGGCAGACGGGUGAGUAACGCGUGGGAACGUACCUUUUGGUUCGGAACAACACAGGGAAACUUGUGCUAAUACCGGAUAAGCCCUUACGGGGAAAGAUUUAUCGCCGAAAGAUCGGCCCGCGUCUGAUUAGCUAGUUGGUGAGGUAACGGCUCACCAAGGCGACGAUCAGUAGCUGGUCUGAGAGGAUGAUCAGCCACAUUGGGACUGAGACACGGCCCAAACUCCUACGGGAGGCAGCAGUGGGGAAUAUUGGACAAUGGGGGCAACCCUGAUCCAGCCAUGCCGCGUGAGUGAUGAAGGCCCUAGGGUUGUAAAGCUCUUUUGUGCGGGAAGAUAAUGACGGUACCGCAAGAAUAAGCCCCGGCUAACUUCGUGCCAGCAGCCGCGGUAAUACGAAGGGGGCUAGCGUUGCUCGGAAUCACUGGGCGUAAAGGGUGCGUAGGCGGGUUUUUAAGUCAGGGGUGAAAUCCUGGAGCUCAACUCCAGAACUGCCUUUGAUACUGAAGAUCUUGAGUCCGGGAGAGGUGAGUGGAACUGCGAGUGUAGAGGUGAAAUUCGUAGAUAUUCGCAAGAACACCAGUGGCGAAGGCGGCUCACUGGCCCGGUACUGACGCUGAGGCACGAAAGCGUGGGGAGCAAACAGGAUUAGAUACCCUGGUAGUCCACGCCCUAAACUAUGGAUACUCGACAUUUGCGAUAAACUGCAAGUGUCUGAGCGAAA